GGGUAACAUCAGCCAGUCAGCGAGUUCUGGAAGAUAAAAUCAAAUGGCGGCUAAACAGUUACCGGAAGUGAUUGAAGAUGUUCGUCGAUGUAGAACGGUGGUGGAUUUGCUGGCACGUGAGAGCGUUUUGGGAGUAGAUUGUGAAGGAAUUUCACUUAGUGCAGAGGGUCCCUUGACGUUGGUUCAAGUCGGAGACUCUACAGGACAUGUUUAUUUGUUCGACAUCUUAAAAAAUAAAUGUCUUCUGACCCAAGGAAAGCUUGGAACCCUUCUGGAGUCUCAAAAUUUCAUAAAAGUAAUGCACUCGUGCUCCAACGACAGUGCUGCAUUAUACCAUCAAUUCGGGGUGACACUGAGGAAUGUCUUCGAUACACAGGUUGCUAAUAUAAUAAUCCAAGAACACAAAGGACGCAGACUAGCACCUCUUCUGAAACUUGCUGCGAUUUGCGAAGAGUACGAUGGAAAGGCAUUUUCAACCGAACUGAAGGAUAAUAUACAGAGACGAGUGACUUGUGGGCCAAACGACCAAUGACAGAGGACAUGAUUCUUUACGCCGCAAGUGACGUCACAGCCAUUGUACCGGAAGUGUAUGAAAACCAGAAAAGGUACCUUGAAGAAAACAAUUUAAUGUGUAAAUUUCAAGAAAGAGUUCAGGAAGAAAUAUUUUUUCAUAUUGACCAAACUAUUAAACAAAAGAAAAAAGACCGGGUUGAUGCCACAAUUAAAGAAAUUGUAGCGGAUAUAAACGCCAAACACUCUAGCAGUACUUCAUGUAACUUGAGUGAUUUUGAUGAAAAUGGUGAUGAGUACAGGGCUCUCCAAAGGAUACACUUCAAAGAUGCUGCUAAAAUUUCGCCGUUCAUUGAUAGCCUAAAAACAGAGAUCAUACACAAAGAAUUAGCAGAUCUUUUGCAAAAGCUUGAGGAGGACAAUGACAGUUUUUUCCUAAGCUGGAGAUCAAAAGGAAGUAUCCUUGCUUUUGAAAGACAUCCUAAUAAGCUAGUCGCAGACAAAGCAAAGAUAGUAAAUGCAAAAAUGAACAAAAUUGCAAUGAGAAACAUAAGUACCAAAUACAAUAUAAAUUCCAAGCUUAGCCACGUACCUCAAAUUGAGAGGGAGACUCUUCGGUCACUUAGACCAAAUGGUAGUGCUGAUCCCAACUUUCAUCAAGUGGUUCUUCAUCUUUACUGGCUACUUAUGGAUGAAGAUUUGCAGAAGAAAAUCGACGAAUUUAACGAAAAACGUCGAAACUUUAAGAUGACAGAAGGUUAUUACAAGAAGAUGAAGUUUUUCAUUGCAAGAAGAACAAGGGUUCCGGACAGCCUCAAACAAAAGGCUCAAAGGUUCAAACAUGAUUUAGACCGAACAUUUGGACGUGAUGUCGUUCCAUCAGGGUGAUGCUUGCAUCUAAAUGAAAAAUGUUUUUUUAUACAAUGAAUAUCCCCAACGAGUGACCAAUUUCAAUUUUUAGUGCAGUUAUAUACGUAGAUUUUUUUAUUGAAUCAAUUUUGAAUAACUAUAUCGUUAAUUAUCAUCAUAACAAUGUCGAAACGAACUACAUUAAUGUAACAUGUAGAAGAAUAAGCAAUUAACAUAUUAUUUACAUUUUAAAACACCACGUUUCUUUGCAAUUGGUGUUGACUUUCUUCAUUAGAAAAUGUGUUGAGGAAAUACACCGAACUUCAUAUUAUGUACGCUGCACCAGUUUGGAGAUACAUUUUUACCAACAAUUUUUCAUAAAAAUUAUUUGAUUUAGUGUUCGGUGUUUUUACCUUCUUGUACAUAGCAUGUUUAAUACAAUUAUAAUUCGCUUAUUAAGCCAUCUACCUUUUUAACCCCAAUUUAGCUGUCAACCGUUCCUUGAGGUUUUUUAUCGUGCCCUUUUAUCACUAAAGAAAACAUCAUGAAAGAGAAGAUUAUAUUUAUGCGAUAACAAAUUAUUUGUUAGAAAAUAAUAUCGUAAUACACUUACAACAAUUUGUGAAACAUAUUAUCUCUCCUUAACUGUCAAUUUUAAGCAUGAUAUUCUAGUAGUUAAGCCGAACAAUUUUUAAGCACAAUAAUUUAUGUAUUUGCAUUGAAAAACAUAACGAUGAGAAAUCGUGUUUUAAUUAGAUAAUUAAGAAUAUUAAUAUUGGCUUAAACUAGUUUUACUGAAAAAUAAAACGUCAAUGAUUAUUUUCAAA
rnacentral:misc_RNA from 1 species